CAAUAGCGUAUAUUAAAGUUGUUGCAGUUAAAAAGCUCGUAGUUGGAUUUCUGAUCGAGACAUCAGGUCGGGUCCGAGAGGAUCAUGUACUUUGAUUUUGUUUUGAUCAUCCUUGGGGAGAGCAUUUCUGGCAUUCAGUUGUCGGGAUUGGGAUCCUCAUCGUUUACUGUGAAAAAAUUAGAGUGUUCAAAGCAGGCCUCGGCCUCUGAAUACAUUAGCAUGGAAUAAUAAGAUAGGACUUUGGUGGUCUAUUUUGUUGGUUUGCACGCCAAAGUAAUAAUUAAUAGGGAUAGUUGGGGGUAUUCGUAUUCAAUUGUCAGAGGUGAAAUUCUUGGAUUUAUGGAAGACGAACUACUGCGAAAGCAUUUACCAAGGAUGUUUUCAUUAA
rnacentral:rRNA from 1 species